rnacentral:rRNA from 1 species
ACAAGCCUGAGAAACGGCUAGUAGGACUAAGGUCUGCAGCAGGCGCGAAACUUACACAAUGGGAGCACAUCCCUGAUGUAGUGAAGGAAAAUAACGAUGUAUCUCUCAUUGCUGAGUGAUACAAUUGGAAUGAGACGACCGUAAAUACGUUAGUCGAGUAACAAAUGGAGGGCAAGUCUGGUGCCAGCAGCCGCGGUAAUUCCAGCUCCAUUAGCGUAUAUUAAAGUUGUUGCGGUUAAAAAGCUCGUAGUUGAAAUUAGCUUGGCUUUUCGCCACUCGCUUCCAAUUAAAGGCCGCCGUUCCUUUAAGGUGGCCAGCUUCGGUUGCGUCGCUUGGUCGGUGUGCCUGGUUGCGUUAGUGGACGUAAGGCCAAUGUUUCGUCACUGCAUUUUGGGUGCGAAGCGGGGCGUUGUAUGGUUCAUCGGCUAUUUAUUUAGUCGAGCUGCAGCGCCAAGUUUACCUUGAGAAAAUUAGAGUGCUCACAGCAGGCAGUUGGGGCCGAAAGGUUCUUUUCUUGCUUGAAUAAUGUUGCAUGGAAUAAUAGAAUACGGCCUCGGUUCUAUUCUGUUGGUCUUAUAGAACAACAAAAAAGUUGGUACUUGCACCAAAGCUAUGCCAAGCGCUGGUUCUGCCAUGGCGAGCUGGUUCGUGUUUAUGUUGCCUGGAUGGUAAAAAGUUCAGCGCCUUGACGCAGCCGUGUUUUGUCUGGUGUUCCAUUCAAAGGCGUUUGGUUUUAGCAAGCAACCGCCAACUGAGGCAAUGGUUAAAAGAAAUAGUCGCGGCGGCAUCAGUACUGCAUCGCUAGAG